GACGAACGCUGGCGGCGUGCUUAACACAUGCAAGUCGAGCGGAGCGGCGAACGGGUGAGUAACGCGUGAGUAACUGCCCCCCUCCCUGGGAUAACAGUUGGAAACGGCUGCUAAUACCGGAUAGUGGGGGAUGACUCGCGUCCUAUCAGCUUGGUGGUGGGGUAGUGGCCUACCAAGGCGACGACGGGUAGCCGGCCUGAGAGGGCGACCGGCCACCUUGGGUUAGGAUACUGCCCGAACUACUACGGGGGGCAGCAGGGGGGGAGAGUGCACAAUGGGGGAAACACUGAUGCAGCAACGCCGCGUGCGGGAUGACUGACUUCGGGUUGUAAACCGCGUUCAGCCAGGACGCGGUAGUGGCAGAAGAAGCACCGGCUAACUACGUGCCAGCCGCCGCGGUAAUAC
rnacentral:rRNA from 1 species